GAUAAGCUGAAUCAAAGUUAUGCCUCAGGCAACUGUAAGCCCUUGUUUCACAAUCAUAAUGUGUGGUGAAAGUUCUAGAGUGGCAUUAUAUUUUGACAAAAAAAAAUAAAAAUAAAAAAUCACUUCUCAGCAGUUUCAUUAGUCAUAAUGAUCCAGAUUCAGUGAAUUUCUGUGGGGUAAACUAGAAGAAAGGCCAGUUUGGGAAUGUACAGCACAUUCUGUAGACAACAAAGUAAGAAAAAAAGGAGAGAGAUCAGAACACGGCAAUUACUGUUAAAUUUUUCAUGCUUAUAAUGCAUUAUCUCAAGCUGGCACUGCUGUUAAUGGCUGUAUAAGGCCUCUGACUGGACACCUACAUUAAUUUUAGAGCUCCUCUAUUGUUUUGCUUGAAGCAAAAUUUGACAUCAACACGAUGUUUCACCUUUGAUUGAACUUAGUGGGGAAACAACAUGAAAGUAAAUUAAAAUCCCUGCUCACUUCCCACCACUUUUGCAAUAACAUUUUUUUUGUUUUUUCCAUUUUACUCCAAAAGCUGCCUAAAAACCUUUGGAAGAGAUUUCCAUAAGGAAUUCCUAUUUUUUUUUUUCACUUCCUUUCUCUGAAUCCUAGAUGCAUUCAAAGCAAUAUAUUAAAAGUUUAAGGAGUGUAUGAAAAGAAAUAGAUACACUGAUUUUCUUCAGUUUGUUUCUAUACUGAUGAACUUAUGUGCAGUGUAUAACUGAAAGAGAAAUAAAGGGAAGAGUUAAGGCAUCAGAGUGUAUGUGUAGUCUGUACAAGCAUAACUAUAUAUAAGGGGAGAGCUACUUGUGUAAGAGAGGGAGCUGCAUGCUCUGAAAUUACUGCAUAUAUAAAGUAUUCCUAUUGGAAAAAUACAGCUGUCAAAAUACAUUCACAGGUAGUAUGUGAGUUGGAGACCUUGAGACAGGAAAAAAGGGCAGAGGUUGAACAAAACCACCAGAAGUUUGGCCUCCAGAUUUGGCUAUAAUAAGAGAUGAUCUGAACUAUUGGCCAGAAUUCAAACCAAAAGAGAAGUGAACUUGUCAAAAGGUUCAAAAAAUAUUUCCUAUUUUCUUGCUCCUCUGCACUUCCUGUUUCUACUUAGUUCUCUGAGUCAAUGGCCAAGGUAAAAUUAAAAAAGCUGAUCUUGCACUUUUGUACUUACAUUGGCUGCAGUGAAAGGAUGGACCACAAGAAAUCUCACAUGAUGUCUCAUCUCAUAAAACUGUUAGGUUAACACAGUAGUUAAUUCUAUUAGUUCAAAUCAGAUGCAGAAAAUUAAUCAAGUUUGUUUACUCUUCUCUAUAAUUAGAUAUUGACAGUUCCUCUUUUUUUUUUUCUUUUUUCCCCAAACCGCAAUAAAUUAUAAUAACUUAAGUAAAUAACUGUCAAAAGUUUAAGAUUGGUGUGCACAUUUUAGAAGAAGAUUCUGUGAUUUUCCUCUUUCAAUCCUUCUCUUUUUCUUAUUAUAUGAAAGAGAACAAUUGCGGCAUUUGUACAAACAGUACAACAAAAGCCUUGGGACUACUCAGAAUACAUAAAGUUGAGCAUAUGUGCAAAUCUUUGCUGGAUUGUGCCCAAAGGGAGCAUCUACAAGUAUAACAUACUGAAAUUACUUGCAUGUGUGCUGUUUAGGUCUUUAUCUAUAGCAAUUCGGUAAGAAACAGGGUUUUCUUUUGUGUGUGUGUUAUUUGUAUAUAUAGGCUUUGUCCAAGAUUUGAAGGAAUUCCCUUUGAAUUAUUGUUAAUUGACUAUUGCUUAAAGAUUAUUGCAGGAGCAGAAUGAUGAAAUGCAAAUAAGGAGGGAUGUACUAAGUGGUAAAAUAUCUUUUUCUCUUGUAUGAAAUAAUCACCUAAUUUUAAGGAUUAGGGCAAAAGAUGUUUGACAGCAAUAGUGCUAAGUACAUUAUUUUGUAAUUACAAGACGUUGAAGUUACGUAGUUACAUCUUAAUACUUCUCUAAUAAAAAGUAUUUACUGUCUGCUUUAUGACUAAGAGGAAUUUGUGUUUCAUACCAAGAACAGAGAACUGUUAAUCUGCCAAAUCUUCCUUCUCUUUCCUUUUUAAUGUUUUAUUAAAUUCUGUUAAGCUUUGCCUUUAGACAUUAUAAUGGGUUAGAUCUCAACCCUGGAUAUAAUGAUGAGUUAGAUCUCAAUUUCUGUUCACAUUUUUGAGCAAUCUACAUAUAAUUUGUUUAGAUUAUUAAUGUGGAGCUUGAGAUAAGACUGUACGAUUUUUAGUAUUUUGGUCUGAUGUUUCUAGAUGUUAGAAUUAAUAUUCAGAACAUUGCAAAUAGUAAUCAAAUAGAAAAAUUAGAGAAUAAUAAGGAAAAAUAAUUUAGAAAGUAGUUUUUAUUUCUCUUUUGGUGGGUUUCCUAUGUUGCUGAGGACUCACUUCCCUCAACCCCAUCCAAAAACAAAAAAAAAAUUUAGGUGACUUAUGUUGAUGGAAUGGAAUUUUAUCAAGAGGGUUUUCAUUUUCUAACUCGAGUCAUCUAUAAUUUUCUAAUUUCUAUAAAAAGUCAUUACUAUAAGAGGCAUCAUGUCUACAUACAAUCUGUUCAAGUUAGGAAUACUGCUAUGAUGUAGCAGAUGAUAGGAAACACCCAGAAAACUUUUAUACAAAACCAAAAAUACAGGCAAAACUAAGGAAGUAGCAAAUAUAGUAAACUUCCAUAGGGGAGAAAAAAAAAAAGAAAGAGAAAAAAGACAAUGAACUUCCUAUUUUACCCUGUAUGUAUAUAUAUAUCUCUAUAUACAAUAUGCAUUAGAUAAUAUAAAAAUAGCAAGAUUUUACUGAAGAUGAUAUUAUAUACUAUGCUUUCUUUUUUAAAGGGCAGAGAUGGAAAACAAGCUGAUCUGCAGGACUGGUAUGAUGUAUCAAAAAUAUCUACUGUGAAGAGAAUGAAUGUCAAAACAUAGUUUUGUACAUUAAGAUUUACAGAAUAUACAGUAGAAGAGUUCAGAUUAUAAAAAAACAGAUUCAUAAAUCUACCUACACUUUUGAGAACAGUGAAUAAUAUCCUUUCUUAUGGUAAGCAUGAGAAGUUGAAAUACGCGGAAAAGUAUUGAUCACUUUCAAAGAAAACAAGCCUCAGCACUUAUGGCUUGUUCAGAUCAAAUACUCAGGUAACCAAGUAAAGAAAUUUAAUUAGAGUAGGCAAAUAAAGUGUCACACUGAAAAUAAUGUUUACGUGCUUAUGACCUCACAUAGGCUAAAAAGAAAUUAUAAUCCAGGAACUGAUGCAUUUUCCCAUGUAAAUAGAAUAUUUAUAAUAUUUCCAUAAGCUUGGAAUGUAUCAUUUCUUUCUAUCGCUUAUAUUCUCCUAUUGAACUAUAAUUAUAGCAAUAAUAGUAAUAAGAAUAAUUGUGCUAAUAAUAAACCUUAAAACUCUAUUCAUGCCUUUGCUACAAGUUAAGUAGCUGCUGAUAUUUACUGCCUAAUGGAGAUUCCCCAGAUUGUGUCCAUUUUUUUCCAUCUUUUCCUGUCCUCGGCAAGUGUGCAAUCAUCUAUCAAAGAAGCCUUUUCAAUUUUUUUUUUAUUUUUUCUCUCACUAGAUUCUUUUCCACAAACUCUUUUAUUUAUCACUAUGAAUAUAAUAUUUUUCUAAAUUUGAUGAUACAUAUGAAACAAGCGCCCAUGAAAAUAAACAUGAAGCAUAGGUUCUGCAUGACUCCUUUGUAUGUUAAUUUAAGCAUGUGUUUUAUUGACACUAUUUUAUGUUUUAUUCUAUCACAGGCAGAUCAUGAAGAGGUAUUGCUUGCCGUUUGUUUGCCAUUCUUUUGGAAAUCAUGACUACAGCUUUCAGGCUAGGGAGUGGUUUGCUGCCCGAGUUCACUCAGGAAGCCAGUGCAAGAACAGCAGCUUUUCUCCUGGGUCUUACGUUGGCACUUGGCCAGCUGAACCCAGCUUCCUACACUCUGAGCUCAAGCAGGACAUAGAGACACGUUCAUUUGGCCAAGGGAUGGUGUCUCCUUGAAGAUAAGACCAUUGGCUCUCUAUUUAAAAAAAAAUAAUAAACAACAAACUUUUUCAAAUGCAGGAUAUGGUUCUGUAUUACUUAUGUGUGGCAAACAUUUUCAUAAUAAUGUAGUCAGUUUACUGUGAAAAAAUCACAUUUUCUGCAUUUGAAGAUAGAUGAGAAAGUUUUCAAAGGGAUCUAGCAGAGCUCAGUAUUUCUAAGAAACUGAAAGUUCUAGAUUUGCAGCCUAAGUUAUAUCUCAUUAGUCAUGUGACUGAUCAAACCAAACUGAUCUUGUAUCAGCAUGUUUAUUUCUGUGUACUGUAUUGUGCAAUUUGCUUCAUAAGGGGCUGAAUUUAAGUAGUAAUUAGUACAUCUUUUAACAGCAAAAGGAAAAAACAGUAGGAGAUUAUUACUUUCUUAUCUAAUUUUGCCAGUUCUACAAUGAGUUAAAAACAGUAUUUUUCUUUUAGAAGCACACUGUAUAUCACAGCAGAGGGGGAAUCUAAGGGGCAAAGCAGAUACAUAGCCUCAUAGACAUCUGUCUUCUUUUGUUUGUUCUAUAUACACUGACCUGUGAUAAAGGAGACUUUAAAGAGAUGAAGAGAAGGGAAGAAAAAUUAUUACAAAAAUUGUCAAGGGAAAUACAGUUAAUAAUCAACAUGUAUAUUUUAAACCCACUUUUACUGAAUACAGAAAUCUCUCUAUUAAAGUUUUAUUUAUUGUACAUGAAAGGGGAGCUGAUAGAAUAACUAUUCUGAAGAAUUGUACAAGAAAGGUUUUUAGAAAUUUUAAGUAGUGACAGGAGAGUAAAACCUAUAAUCCACACUAUCACUUUUCUCUCUCCCAAAUGGGCUGGAGAAUAGAAGGUGUCUUGUAAAACCAGAAUUUCCAUUUCUAGAUAGAAUUUACUUUGUGGAAAAGAGAAGCAACAGUUUUAUCAUUUAAGCUUAGCAAUAGUAACUGCACUUAAGAGUUUGAUCUUGGGGUUGCUUUAAGAAAAACUAGUGCUUUAGACAACAACAACAACAAAAAAGGAACUAAUUAAGACUAGUUAGUGUUUAGUUGGCAGCCUGCGAUACAAAUCACUUUUUACAAACUCUUUCCAUUAUAUUUUUAUGAUAUGUUGAAAUGUUGAAAAUGACUGGUAAUCGUGUAAUCCUGUUGCCACCACCCAGCAACAAUACACAAUGGCAUGCAUUGCUACUGCAACUGUACUCAGCUGUAAGCUAUUAAUAAGCUGAAUACAGCUAGGAUGCUUAGGUGUCAAUGUCCUGUACAAUUUAUUUAUAGACAUAUAUUUUACAUCUGUUAAGAGAGGAAGAUGCAUUUCCUACUGACAAAUUCCAUUAAUAUAGCAAAUAGAGAGGAAAGAGUUUUAUAUUUCAUAGAGUUGUUUACUAUUCAUCUGAGCCUAGGAUAUUCCUACAGUAACAAGAAGACAUUUACAUCUAUUCUGCCCUCAUGAGGCCACAUCUAGAGUACUGUGUCCAGUUCAGGAUUCCCCAGUUCAAAAGAACUGGGAUCCUUUUCCACCAAAAACUUUCCAUGAUUCCAAGAUUCUGUGGUUUCCAUUUAAAUAAACUAACUGCAAUUUUUCAUCUAUUUCUUCACC